GUAUGAGUCGUUAGCCCACGGUAGCUCAAGGGUAGAGCCCUGUAUGUGGGAGCGAAAGCGCCUAGCAAUAACUGCGAGGAGGUCGCAGGUUCGAAUCCUGCCCGGUGGGU